rnacentral:sRNA from 1 species
CUAAACCCGCAUGAGGGAUAGGAGUGGAAAUCCUUUUAUGCCGGGGUUCGGCAUAAAAGAUUGAAACGGAUAGCCCGACCCGCC